rnacentral:rRNA from 1 species
GACGAACGCUGGCGGCGUGCUUAACACAUGCAAGUCGAACGGAAAGGCCCCUUUGGGGGUACUCGAGUGGCGAACGGGUGAGUAACACGUGCGUAACCUGCCCUUGACUUCGGGAUAACUUCAGGAAACUGGGGCUAAUACCGGAUAGGAAUCCUUGCUGCAUGGUGGGGGUUGGAAAGCUUCGGCGGUUUUGGAUGGACUCGCGGCUUAUCAGCUUGUUGGUGGGGUAGUGGCUUACCAAGGCUUUGACGGGUAGCCGGCCUGGGAGGGCGACCGGCCACAUUGGGACUGAGAUACGGCCCAGACUCCGACGGGAGGCAGCAGUGGGGAAUAUUGCACAAUGGGCGGAAGCCUGAUGCAGCAACGCCGCGUGCGGGAUGACGGCCUUCGGGUUGUAAACCGCUUUCAGCAGGGGCGAAGCUUGUGGUGACGGUACCUGCAGAAGAAGCACCGGCUAACUACGUG